UACGUAGGGUGCAAGCGUUGUCCGGAAUUAUUGGGCGUAAAGAGCUCGUAGGCGGUUUGUCGCGUCGGCUGUGAAAACUCGGGGCUCAACCCCGAGCCUGCAGUCGAUACGGGCAGACUAGAGUGCGGUAGGGGAGACUGGAAUUCCUGGUGUAGCGGUGAAAUGCGCAGAUAUCAGGAGGAACACCGGUGGCGAAGGCGGGUCUCUGGGCCGAUAUUGACGCUGAGGAGCGAAAGCGUGGGGAGCGAACAGG
rnacentral:rRNA from 1 species